rnacentral:tRNA from 1 species
GGUGGAGUAAGCAACGGGGAGCUAUGGCCUUGCAACGGUCAGUAUGGAGGUUCGAAUCCUCCCUCCACCUCCA